rnacentral:rRNA from 1 species
AGGGAAUCUUCCGCAAUGGGCGAAAGCCUGACGGAGCAACGCCGCGUGAGUGAGGAAGGUCUUCGGAUCGUAAAACUCUGUUAUUAGGGAAGAACAAAUGUGUAAGUAACUGUGCACGUCUUGACGGUACCUAAUCAGAAAGCCACGGCUAACUACGUGCCAGCAGCCGCGGUAAUACGUAGGUGGCAAGCGUUAUCCGGAAUUAUUGGGCGUAAAGCGCGCGUAAGCGGUUUCUUAAGUCUGAUGUGAAAGCCCACGGCUCAACCGUGGAGGGUCAUUGGAAACUGGGAAACUUGAGUGCAGAAGAGGAAAGUGGAAUUCCAUGUGUAGCGGUGAAAUGCGCAGAGAUAUGGAGGAACACCAGUGGCGAAGGCGACUUUCUGGUCUGUAACUGACGCUGAUGUGCGAAAGCGUGGGGAUCAAACAGGAUUAGAUACCCUGGUAGUCCACGCCGUAAACGAUGAGUGCUAAGUGUUAGGGGGUUUCCGCCCCUUAGUGCUGCAGCUAACGCAUUAAGCACUCCGCCUGGGGAGUACGACCGCAAGGUUG